rnacentral:rRNA from 1 species
CGGCGGACGGGUGAGUAACACGUGGAUAACCUACCUAUAAGACUGGGAUAACUUCGGGAAACCGGAGCUAAUACCGGAUAAUAUAUUGAACCGCAUGGUUCAAUAGUGAAAGACGGUUUUGCUGUCACUUAUAGAUGGAUCCGCGCCGCAUUAGCUAGUUGGUAGGGUAACGGCUUACCAAGGCAACGAUGCGUAGCCGACCUGAGAGGGUGAUCGGCCACACUGGAACUGAGACACGGUCCAG